CAUCCAUUUGUCCUCCAGCUUGAGCUUCUAUGGCAUCUCGCAUGGUCACAACUAGAAGGAAAAUCGAUUUUAGAUUUUUAGAGGAGGAAUACUUUCGGAUUGGGAGUUGAUCCGACAAUAAGGAUGGAAAAAGAUGUGUUCAUUGGAGGUGCCCACCUAUCCUAAUCUUGUGAGGAAAUUCUUUGAAAUUUGAGAAUAGAUACAGCCUCUUUGAAAUCAACUGUGAAGGGCAUUUUGAUUGUGC
rnacentral:lncRNA from 1 species